GUUUUGGUAGCUUAACUAAAGCAUCGAUCUUGUAAGUCGAAGACCGGAGGUGUAAACCCUCCCCAAAACA
rnacentral:tRNA from 1 species